GCCGGUGUGGUGAAGUGGUAUCACGUGACCUUCCCAAGGUCGAGUUGCGGGUUCGAUUCCCGUCACCGGCU
rnacentral:tRNA from 1 species